UACGUAGGGCGCAAGCGUUAUCCGGAAUUAUUGGGCGUAAAGAGCUCGUAGGCGGUUUGUCGCGUCUGCCGUGAAAGUCCGGGGCUCAACUCCGGAUCUGCGGUGGGUACGGGCAGACUAGAGUGAUGUAGGGGAGACUGGAAUUCCUGGUGUAGCGGUGGAAUGCGCAGAUAUCGAGAGGAACACCUGCGGCGAAGGCGGGUAGCUGGGCCGACACUGACGCUGAGGCGCGAAAGCCAGGGGAGCGAACGGG
rnacentral:rRNA from 1 species